AUUGAACGCUGGCGGCAGGCUUAACACAUGCAAGUCGAGCGGAGUGAUGGUGCUUGCACUAUCACUUAGCGGCGGACGGGUGAGUAAUGCUUAGGAAUCUGCCUAUUAGUGGGGGACAACAUCUCGAAAGGGAUGCUAAUACCGCAUACGUCCUACGGGAGAAAGCAGGGGAUCACUUGUGACCUUGCGCUAAUAGAUGAGCCUAAGUCGGAUUAGCUAGUUGGUGGGGUAAAGGCCUACCAAGGCGACGAUCUGUAGCGGGUCUGAGAGGAGGAUCCGCCACACUGGGACUGCGACACGGCCCAGACUCCUACGGGAGGCAGCAGUGGGGAAUAUUGGACAAUGGGGGGAACCCUGAUCCAGCCAUGCCGCGUGUGGGAAGAAGGCCUUAUGGUUGUAAAGCACUUUAAGCGAGGAGGAGGCUCUUUUGGUUAAUACCCAAGAUGAGUGGACGUUACUCGCAGAAUAAGCACCGGCUAACUCUGUGCCAGCAGCCGCCGUAA
rnacentral:rRNA from 1 species